UGGCAGAAGAAUUUGCCAAGACAUUCUUCAUCACUGAUUGUCAGUCCUGGCUACCUGGGGAGAUCCACACAGGUUGGUCACUGUGAUUCCCAUGCACAGGAAGGGCUGGAAGGAAGAUAUGUGAAACUACAGGUUUAUCAGCCUGACCUUGGUCCCAGUGCAGGUUAUGAAACAUCCUGAGUGUGAUCACACAGCACUUACAGGACAGCCUGUAGGGAUCAGAGGGAUAACACGCAGCCGCCACAGCUUAGGAAGGGCAGAUCCUGCCUGAUCUCCUUUGAUGACCUGGUGACACAUCUGAUAAACAAGUGAAAGGAUCUUGAUGUUAUCUACCUGGACCUCAGAAGAGCAUUUGGCACUGUCUCCCUCAGCAUUCUCCCGGAAAAGCUGGCAGCCCACAGCUUGGACAGGUGCACCCUUUGCUGAGUUAAAAACUGCCUGGAUGAUCAGGCCCAGAGAGUGACGGUGAAUGGUGCUGCAUCCAGCUGGCAGCCAGUCACUCUGGGGCUUCCACAAGGCUCACUGUUGGGCACAGUUCUGUUCAAUAUGUUUAUUAUCCUGAUCAAUAACUUAAAAAUUUGGAUGAGGAGAUUGAGUAUACCCUGACUAAAUCCAGAGUCUACACCAAGUUGGGCAGAAAUGUUGAUUCUGCUGGAGGGCAGGAAGGCUCUGCAGAGGAUCUGCACAGGCUGCAUCGAUGGGCUGAGGCCAGUGGGGAGGCUGUGGCCAGGUGGGGGUCAAUCUCCUCUGCCAUUCAACCAGUGACAGGAUGAGAGGAUGUAAGUUCAAGCUGCACCAAGAGAGGUUGGAAUUGGACACCAGGAAGUUUUUCUUCACAAAAAGGCCUAUUCUUUGUAAACACUGAAGAAUGUUGGUCUUAGAAGCAGCACCCUGGGAGACAGCCUUUGUGUGUGAGAAAUUAUUCUUCAACAUUGUAUCUGGAUGAGAAAGAAAGUUUCAUAUCCUAAGGAUAUAUUUAUAAUUAGAAUGGUGUAACUGAAUCAAAGACAUUGUUCUUAGGAAACAGACAUUAGUCUGCUGAGGUUAUUUUAGGGUGGGGCAGAGGGCAACUCUAGGUUUGUUCCAUUAUUAAGAAACCAUUUUUCUCUAUGACGUGGAUUUUUGGUUGUUGUUUUUUAUUGUCCUUUCAUUAGUAUUUAUUAAUUAUGUUCUUCUUAUUCCUUGUAGAAGUAUAGAUUUUCCUUCUUGUCCUGGAGUGGCACAUACAUGUAUAUACUCAGUGCAGAUGAAAAGAAAAUCUCCCACGGCUGGUCUUCCCAUCACAAUUUUCCCACUGGUCACUGGACCAGUCUGGGUGCUGAAGCUGGUGUUACUGCUUCAGUAUCUGCACUUCAAUACUGCCUGAGGUGUCUUCAGGUCUCCUGUGGCACCGCACAAGGGAAACAGAGUGCUCCCAGAGACUUGUGAGUUGUCCCUGGUGAUGGCUGACCAAGGGCCCUGGAAAGGGCUUUGGAGUUCAGCAGUGACAGCGUUUGGGGAAGUGCUCACAGUGAGUCCAUGCAAGCUCUUUCAUUAGAUUGGGUAACAGUCCUAUAUAGCUAUAAAGCACACACAUGAAAGAAUCCAAUGUAAGUUAUACAAAGACAGGUCCCUGCUGCACUUCUAUCAAGUGGAUUUUAACAUGCUGGUGGAGAUUUCUUUAACUGCAUGAUGUCCAUAUAAAACUCAUAUCCAAAAAAUCCUGUUGAAAACCACCUGCUGACAAAUGCUGAGAAACUUCUUCAUUUUAAUUUACAGUUCAGUUUCCAAAUGUUAAAAACAAAUAAGAAGCUGAGAGAAUACAUGUGCUCCUUAAAUAAUAGCUACAGUGUGCCACACCUAAACAGCCAUGACCUAGAUGGCAAGGAGGGUGAAGGAAGGAAGCUCUUUUAUUUCAAUUUUCCAGGCCAACUGUCUUUUUCAUUACACAGUGUUAAUGCCAAGAAGUUCAAAUUAUUCAGCAGAAUUCAUUGUACAAAAUGAAAUAAAUAUAUUCCAUAUGAAAA